AAGUCGUAACAAGGUUUCCGUAGGUGAACCUGCGGAAGGAUCAUUAACACGUAUCCAACGUUAAACCCCCCGUGCACACAGAGACCAGCUCCCCUCAAUUUCGGUCUUUUGGCAAUCUCUGGUAAAUCAUCGCCGAACAGUUUUGAUUCAGGGACUUCUGCGAAGAGGGUGAUGUAGCGCGAGGCAAUGGACCGGGCAUUCCUCUGCUUGUUGGUGUCUGAAAUUGUCACUAACUCUGUACGAAUGGCGCAUAGUCACGUUCGCUAGAGGCCGAUACGGCCGGCGACCGGGUCCCUGAGCUCACUCAGAGCUCCCUAAUAACCUUUGCAUGAAAACGGGCCUGCGCUUAAUUGUGCGGCCACCAAACUCGAACAACUGUUAACAAUGGAUAUCUUGGUUCUC
rnacentral:misc_RNA from 1 species